AGAGUUUGAUCCUGGCUCAGGAUGAACGCUAGCGGCAGGCUUAACACAUGCAAGUCGAGGGGUAACAUUGUAACUUGGUACCUAUGACGACCGGGGCACGGGUGCGUAACGCGUAUAUAACCUACCUUUUGCAGAGGGAUAUCCUUUUUAAAUGAAAAUUAAUACCUUAUGGUAUUAUAGACUGGGGUCUCUUUAUAAUUUAAGAUUUAUCGGUAAAAGAUGGCUAUGCGUCCUAUUAGUUAGAUGGUGAGGUAACGGCUUACCAUGACAUCGAUAGGUAGGGGUCCUGAGAGGGAGAUCCCCCACACUGGUACUGAGACACGGACCAGACUCCUACGGGAGGCAGCAGUGAGGAAUAUUGGGCAAUGGAGGCAACUCUGAUCCAGCCAUGCCGCGUGCAGGAAGACGGCCCUAUGGGUUGUAAACUGCUUUUAUACAGGAAGAAACACUAGUACGUGUACUAGCUUGACGGUACUGUAAGAAUAAGGACCGGCUAACUCCGUGCCAGCAGCCGCGGUAAUACGGAGGGUCCGAGCGUUAUCCGGAAUCAUUGGGUUUAAAGGGUCCGCAGGCGGUCAAUUAAGUCAGAGGUGAAGUACCAUAGCUCAACUAUGGAACUGCCUUUGAUACUGGUUGACUUGAGUCAUAUGGAAGUAGAUAGAAUGUGUAGUGUAGCGGUGAAAUGCAUAGAUAUUACACAGAAUACCGAUUGCGAAGGCAGUCUACUACGUAUGUACUGACGCUGAGGGACGAAAGCGUGGGGAGUGAACAGGAUUAGAUACCCUGGUAGUCCACGCCGUAAACGAUGGAUACUAGUUGUUGGGCAUUAUCUCAGUGACUAAGCGAAAGUGAUAAGUAUCCCACCUGGGGAGUACGGUCGCAAGACUGAAACUCAAAGGAAUUGACGGGGGCCCGCACAAGCGGUGGAGCAUGUGGUUUAAUUCGAUGAUACGCGAGGAACCUUACCAGGGCUUAAAUGUAGUCUGACAGCUUUAGAGACAGAGUUUUCUUCGGACAGAUUACAAGGUGCUGCAUGGUUGUCGUCAGCUCGUGCCGUGAGGUGUCAGGUUAAGUCCUAUAACGAGCGCAACCCCUGUCGUUAGUUGCCAGCAUGUUAUGAUGGGGACUCUAACGAGACUGCCUACGCAAGUAGUGAGGAAGGUGGGGAUGACGUCAAAUCAUCACGGCCCUUACGUCCUGGGCCACACACGUGCUACAAUGGUAUGGACAAUGAGCAGCCAUCUGGCAACCGAGAGCGAAUCUACAAACCAUAUCACAGUUCGGAUCGGAGUCUGCAACUCGACUCCGUGAAGCUGGAAUCGCUAGUAAUCGGAUAUCAGCCAUGAUCCGGUGAAUACGUUCCCGGGCCUUGUACACACCGCCCGUCAAGCCAUGGAAGCUGGGAGUGCCUGAAGUCGGUCACCGCAAGGAGCCGCCUAGGGUAAAACUGGUAACUAGGGCUAAGUCGUAACAAGGUA
rnacentral:rRNA from 1 species